rnacentral:rRNA from 1 species
CCUAGGGUGGCUGCAGUGGGGAAUAUUGGACAAUGGGGGCAACCCUGAUCCAGCCAUGCCGCGUGUGUGAAGAAGGCCCUCGGGUUGUAAAGCACUUUCAGUGAGGAAGAACGCCUGGUGGUUAAUACCCAUCAGGAAAGACAUCACUCACAGAAGAAGCACCGGCUAACUCCGUGCCAGCAGCCGCGGUAAUACGGAGGGUGCGAGCGUUAAUCGGAAUUACUGGGCGUAAAGCGCGCGUAGGUGGCUUGAUAAGCCGGUUGUGAAAGCCCCGGGCGCAACCUGGGAACGGCAUCCGGAACUGUCAAGCUAGAGUGCAGGAGAGGAAGGUAGAAUUCCCGGUGUAGCGGUGAAAUGCGUAGAGAUCGGGAGGAAUACCAGUGGCGAAGGCGGCCUUCUGGACUGACACUGACACUGAGGUGCGAAAGCGUGGGUAGCAAACAGGAUUAGAUACCCCUGUAGUC